GCUGGGUGCAGUGACACAUGCCUGCAGUCCCAGUUACUGGGGAGGCUGCAGUGGGAGGAUCACUUGACUAGGAGUUCUGGGCUGUAGUGCACUAUGCCAAUCGGGUGUCCACACUAAGUUCGGCAUCAAUAUGGUGACUUCCCAGGAGCGGGGGACCACCAGGUAGCCUAAGGUGGGGUGAAUCGGCCCAGGUCAGAAACGAAACAGGUCAAAACUCCCAUGCUGAUCAGUUGUGGGAUGGCUCCUGUGAAUAGCCACUGCAUUCCAGCCUGGGCAACAUAGCAAGACCCUAUCUCUU
ensembl:misc_RNA Metazoa_SRP Metazoan signal recognition particle RNA